rnacentral:lncRNA from 1 species
CAACUGAAAGACCCUAUGUCUAUAUCAUGGAUGAACAUCAAUAAGUCUAACAAGAUUAUCUGAAUCAUGGAUGAAUACGUAGAACUCAUGUUUACCAUUUGUUUCCAUAAGUCCAACAAUUUUUACCUUUAGUCUAGGUCUACCUCAAGUAACUUGUCUACAAGAUCUGAACAUGAUACUAAUGAGAUUCAUCUUCAUCCUCCACCCCCUACUUCUAAGUCAUGGACAUACUUUUUUGACUUUUCACCACAGGUGGACUUCUAGAAGUUGGGUCGUCUAUGUUGAACUUUCAUCAUUAUCGCUUACUACUUUAAUGUCAUGAAAAAAA